rnacentral:rRNA from 1 species
CUACGAAGGUGGCGAGCGUUGUUCGGAAUCACUGGGCGUAAAGCGCGCGCAGGCGGCUAUUUAAGUUGGAUGUGAAAGCCUACGGCUCAACCGUAGAACUGCAUCCAAAACUAUUUAGCUAGAGUGUGGGAGAGGAAGAUGGAAUUAGUUGUGUAGGGGUAAAAUCCGUAGAGAUAACUAGGAAUACCAAAAGCGAAGGCAAUCUUCUGGAACACUACUGACGCUGAGGCGCGAAAGCGUGGGGAGCAAACGGGAUUAGAAACCCUAGUAGUCC